rnacentral:lncRNA from 1 species
CUCAGAAUCAAAGGACCAUAUUCAUAUUGACAGUUAAGCUCUUAUAAUGGAAGUAACCUCAUUCAACUCUUCUUAGAAGUAAAUGAUGGACAAGUAGAUAAUCUUUGGCAAUCCUUUCCAGUUUUGUUUACACAUAGGUUUCUUUUUCCCCCUGAAGAACUAACAAGAAAAAGCCAGAUUCAAUUACUAUGAUUUGGCAGCUUGAAACAACAAACUGGUUUUUCCUGCUCCUGAGCUGAAAUUUCAAUUAAAUAGUUUUAAAAGCUAUGAUGGCAUAGGAACAAAAUAUUUGUCAAGUGACACCUGGAAACCUGCAGCUUAAUUCUCUAAGCACUGAAAUUUUUUUCAAUAUUUUAACCAUUUUGAGCAGAAAUUCCUUAAAAAUGUCUAUCAACAUAGUCCCUGCCCUCUUUCUUUCUUGUUUGUUGUCUUUUCAUUAUUUUCUCCUGGGUUUUCUAACAACGUCUGACCUUUAUCCAUUAAAGUCUACCAGCUUGGCACUGUCUGAAGAUAUUGAUCUAGAGAAUGUCAUUUUGUGUGCAUAAUGUUUGCAGCGUCAACUGCACUAAACAUAAUUUGAUCUGGCCUUAAUUUCUCUGGGGCAUCAUAGGGAAUCCCAGUUAUUGUACAAUAUCAUAAUGCACUCAUGCCUUCAAUAGGGUUGCCACAUUUAGCAAAUAAAAUUACAGGACAUCCAGUUAAAUUAGAAUUUCUGAUAAUCAAUGAAUUUUUUAAAGUAUAUCCG